UCCACCGAUUGACUAAGGUUUCCAGAGGAAGGCUCGUCCGCUCUGGGUUAGUCGGGUCCUAAGCUGAGGCCGACAGGCGUAGGCGAUGGAUAACAGGUUGAUAUUCCUGUACCACCUAUAAUCGUUUUAAUCGAUGGGGGGACGCAGUAGGAUAGGCGAAGCGUGCGAUUGGAUUGCACGUCUAAGCAGUAAGGCUGAGUAUUAGGCAAAUCCGGUACUCGUUAAGGCUGAGCUGUGAUGGGGAGAAGACAUUGUGUCUUCGAGUCGUUGAUUUCACACUGCCGAGAAAAGCCUCUAGAUAGAAAAUAGGUGCCCGUACCGCAAACCGACACAGGUAGUCAAGAUGAGAAUUCUAAGGUGAGCGAGCGAACUCUCGUUAAGGAACUCGGCAAAAUGACCCCGUAACUUCGGGAGAAGGGGUGCUCUUUAGGGUUAACGCCCAGAAGAGCCGCAGUGAAUAGGCCCAAGCGACUGUUUAUCAAAAACACAGGUCUCUGCUAAACCGUAAGGUGAUGUAUAGGGGCUGACGCCUGCCCGGUGCUGGAAGGUUAAGAGGAGUGGUUAGCUUCUGCGAAGCUACGAAUCGAAGCCCCAGUAAACGGCGGCCGUAACUAUAACGGUCCUAAGGUAGCGAAAUUCCUUGUCGGGUAAGUUCCGACCCGCACGAAAGGCGUAACGAUUUGGGCACUGUCUCAACGAGAGACUCGGUGAAAUCAUAGUACCUGUGAAGAUGCAGGUUACCCGCGACAGGACGGAAAGACCCCGUGGAGCUUUACUGUAGCCUGAUAUUGAAAUUCGGCACAGCUUGUACAGGAUAGGUAGGAGCCUUUGAAACGUGAGCGCUAGCUUACGUGGAGGCGCUGGUGGGAUACUACCCUAGCUGUGUUGGCUUUCUAACCCGCACCACUUAUCGUGGUGGGAGACAGUGUCAGGCGGGCAGUUUGACUGGGGCGGUCGCCUCCUAAAAGGUAACGGAGGCGCUCAAAGGUUCCCUCAGAAUGGUUGGAAAUCAUUCAUAGAGUGUAAAGGCAUAAGGGAGCUUGACUGCGAGACCUACAAGUCGAGCAGGGUCGAAAGACGGACUUAGUGAUCCGGUGGUUCCGCAUGGAAGGGCCAUCGCUCAACGGAUAAAAGCUACCCCGGGGAUAACAGGCUUAUCUCCCCCAAGAGUUCACAUCGACGGGGAGGUUUGGCACCUCGAUGUCGGCUCAUCGCAUCCUGGGGCUGUAGUCGGUCCCAAGGGUUGGGCUGUUCGCCCAUUAAAGCGGUACGCGAGCUGGGUUCAGAACGUCGUGAGACAGUUCGGUCCCUAUCCGUCGUGGGCGUAGGAAAUUUGAGAGGAGCUGUCCUUAGUACGAGAGGACCGGGAUGGACAUACCUCUGGUGUACCAGUUGUCGUGCCAACGGCAUAGCUGGGUAGCUAUGUGUGGACGGGAUAAGUGCUGAAAG
rnacentral:rRNA from 1 species